GUCGUGUCGUAUCGAUGGUUACUUGACUCCGUAUAAAAUCGUCCGCCACUAAGCUUGAAGCCUUUUCCCCUCACAGCUCGACUGUCUGCUUGGUGGAAGUGAUGUCUCAGUUUAGGGUCACUGAUGCAAUAAAACGUGGAUGUUCCGCCAGCGGCCGGGCUGUUGGAGCAGAACCUGUUUAGUGUGAGAUCAACAGACCAAAUGACCAGCCUUUCAGAUGAAAGGUAAGUUUAGAGAACGACAUCUAGUUAAAAUUGCACUUGACAGUAAAGUCGUAUGGUUUUCGCUAACAAUAUGGUGGUAUUUCAAUAACCAAAGUUAAAAUUCAUGCAGUUCUGCUGAAUAUUCUGUGCUGUAUGCAGCUUUUUCUCAGGUGAUUUGUGAAUAUUACACUGUUGCUUUAGCAAUGACUGAGUUGCAUUGAAAUUGUCAUGUCUGUACUAUGCAAUUUCAUUGUAAAUCCUAUAAUAAAGACUUUAAAAGAUUAA